GGUGCUGCAUGGUUGUCGUCAGCUCGUGCCGUGAGGUGUCGGGUUAAGUCCCAUAACGAGCGCAACCCUUAUCGUUAGUUGCCAUCUGGUAAAGCAGGGGACUCUAGCGAAACUGCCACCGUAAGGUGAGAGGAAGGUGGGGAUGACGUCAAAUCAUCAUGCCCCUUAUGUUCUGGGCUACACACGUGCUACAAUGGCCGGUACAGACGGACGCAAAGCCGCGAGGUGGAGCAAAUCCUAAAAAGCCGGUCUCAGUUCGGAUUGCAGGCUGCAAUUCGCCUGCAUGAAGUCGGAAUCGCUAGUAAUCGCAGGUCAGCAUACUGCGGUGAAUACGUUCCCGGGCCUU
rnacentral:rRNA from 1 species